rnacentral:rRNA from 1 species
AACGAACGCUGGCGGCAGGCUUAACACAUGCAAGUCGAACGCAUCCUUCGGGGUGAGUGGCAGACGGGUGAGUAACGCGUGGGAACGUGCCCUUCAGUUCGGGAUAACCCAGGGAAACUUGGGCUAAUACCGGAUACGUGCGAGAGCAGAAAGAUUUAUCGCUGAAGGAUCGGCCCGCGUCUGAUUAGCUAGUUGGUGGGGUAAUGGCCCACCAAGGCGACGAUCAGUAGCUGGUCUGAGAGGAUGAUCAGCCACAUUGGGACGGAGACACGGCCCAAACUCCUACGGGAGGCAGCAGUGGGGAAUAUUGGACAAUGAGCGCAAGCCUGAUCCAGCCAUGCCGCGUGAGUGAUGAAGGCCUUAGGGUUGUAAAGCUCUUUCGUCCGGGACGAUAAUGACGGUACCGGAAGAAGAAGCCCCGGCUAACUUCGUGCCAGCAGCCGCCGUAAGAC